GUUCAAUGACUGGAUUUUAAGUGGCUUUUGUACUUCCUCAGAGAUUGUGAAAAUACCAAAUACUUGUAUUUCCUGACUUCACUGUUUAAAAAAACAAUCAUUUUUCCCAUUUGAUGGAUUAUAGUCCAGAAAUAAAUGAAUGGUUGGUUUCUGUAGAUGUUCCCCCCCCCCCCACUUCAGGAAAUUUAAAGAAAUGUCAUUAUAUGUCAGUUUUUUUGUUGUUAUUGGUUUUUUCUUUCUUUUUAGUUAUACAUGACAGUAGAAUGUAUUUUGACAUCAUACGUGGAGCAUAACUUCGCAUUUUUGAGUUGUACAUGAUAUGGAGUUACACUGGUUGUGUAUUCAUAUGUGAACACAGGAAAAUUAUGUCUGAUUCAUUCUACUGUUCUCCCAUUUCCAUCACUUCUCCCUCGAUCCCACUCCCCGAAAUAGAUAUUAGGCUUUUUUUCUCCUUGUCUCCAUAGGUCUAUUGAAGAUAUAAUGUAUUGGAGAUGUAUUUUUUGUGGUUGAAUUUGGUAUAUAAACAUAAUUUUGAAAAAAAAAAAAUUGAUCUUUAGGAAGAAGGUGGAAACUCUUAAAUCCACUUUGAAAGGUGGAGUUAAUCAAAUGCCCAGCAGUAUGUUGUUUUUUUAAUACUUUUUAUAUUCUGCUCAUGAAUUGUGGCUUUGAGAAUUAGUCACAAGCUACCUUAGAAAAUUCUGAGAUUCUUUUAUGCUUGACCUAAAAAAUUUUUGUGUGUGUUUGGCCUCCAUUUUGUUAUUCUUGUGAAGGUACUCCUCAGAGCAGAGGAUGUUGUCCAUUUCAUUUUCCUUGAUUUUGGCAAGGAUUUUCAGCUCUUAACCUAUAAAGGGAACUAGUAUGACUUGGCUUUUACAUCAAGGUGUGUUCACUGCAUACAUUUUGGGGGAAGCGAUUUGUAAGUCUCUAAAGUGUAUGUCAAAUAACAAUUAGCUCCCUUUGAUUUAUGGAGAAUUGAAAUAGAUGUAAAUGUAUACUUUUAAAAAAAGAUUUUUCAUUUUAAAAUGGUUUGUAGACUCUCUUAAAAAAUAAUUCC
rnacentral:lncRNA from 1 species